UCUCAUGCUUUACUCCAAAUAUCCCCCAGAAUAACUUCUCCUGUUACUUACCACUCUUCUCACAAGGUGGUAGUGAAAAGUGAAGUAGAUUUACAAUUACUUUGUAUCAAAGGGACUACCUUUAAUACCAAUCCUAAUCUAAUGCUUGGUAGCAAGCCUCUGAAAACCUUAUUUUCUUCUCCUUUUUCCUUAGAGUCUUUAAAAACAACCUCAAAGACUUCAUAGAGAAAUUUUUCCCCAUGGCAUGCCCUGUGCAGAGCCUCACAUUUAAUGCCCACACUGACAGUACCUGCUACAGGCUUUUCAGAUCAUGGCCAAAGACUACCGAAGUCACUGAAAAACAGUGGUGUACAAAGAACACUGUUACUUUCAAGAAACUGGAAGACACAUUUUGUGGAAGCACAGACCGGGAUAUAGUCUGAGGGUUCUCGCUCUAUCACACUGAAGGCAUUGUGACAAUACAGCAGUACCCAGCCAAUUUGCUUCUUCCUUCUGGAGUCUUUGCAAACUUGAAUGUUUGCUUCAUAUGUUAUUGUUGAAGGAUCAGUACAUACAAAAAAAUUAAAUACAUGUCCUCAAAACUACUGAGAAGGAAUUGAGGGCAGCCGAGAACAGGAUCUGCAGUUGGCAGCAGAGAUGUCUGACUGUAGAAACUUCUUGAGGCUCACCGUAGUCCACUGAGUGCUCUCCACUUCCUCAUCCAGGGACCCCAACGAGAGGGAUGAAAUAUGCACAUCU